GCACUGUCUGAAAUUGUCGGCUAUUUCUGCACUCCGAAGGCAGAGGUCACACGUUCGAAUCGUGUCGGGUGCGCCA
rnacentral:tRNA from 1 species